ensembl:lncRNA
AAUCAGUCUAUUGAGAAGAGACACCAGAAGAGGUCAAAGGUUACCAGUGCUCAGUCUCUACAGCAGCAUCAAACAGAGCUGAUCAAGAGGGCUGAGGAGAACGCACACAUUUUCCUAGACAAGGAGCUGAAGAAGCUCUGGAGGGAUCUCUUCUCAGAUUACCCACAAUGCUCAGAGGGUCAGAGAGUGGAGGAGGAGGAGGUGGAUGGUAAGAAGGAGGAGCAGAGGAGGCGCGCCAUAGAGGGAGUGGUGGACAUCACAAAGCUCUGCCUGAUGGAGAUGAACCAGGAGGAACUGGCCGACACACUGGGGCGG